AUUGAACGCUGGCGGCAGGCCUAACACAUGCAAGUCGAACGAGUGGCGGACGGGUGAGUAAUGUCUGGGAAACUGCCUGCUGGAGGGGGAUAACUACUGGAAACGGUAGCUAAUCCCGCAUACCAUCGGAUGUGCCCCUAUGGGAUUAGCUAGUAGGUGGGGUAACGGCUCACCUAGGCGACGAUCCCUAGCUGGUCUGAGAGGAUGACCAGCCACACUGGAACUGAGACACGGUCCAGACUCCUACGGGAGGCAGCAGUGGGGAAUAUUGCACAAUGGGCGCAAGCCGGAUGCAGCCAUGCCGCGUGUAUGAAGAAGGCCUUAGGGUUGUAAAGUACUUUCAGCGGGGAGGCGUUACCCGCAGAAGAAGCACCGGCUAACUCCGUGCCAGCAGCCGCGGUAAUAC
rnacentral:rRNA from 1 species